AGCUUUGUUCCUCUGCAUUAUGAGGUAAUACAGAAACACAAGAUAUUUUAAUGGUUUUCUCGUUAAAAGUCCACAAUCUUCUGAAAACUAUUCAUUUCAGUUGCUGGACAGAGGAAAUCCAGCCUUGUAAAGUUGAUCAAGACUGCAAAAUAUCUUUUCUUGGGAACGAGAACAAAAGGAACGAACUGGACCAGGAUGAGCUCAACUCUAAACUGACUGGAAUUCUCGACAGCAGCCCGGCAACAAAAGCCAGGUCCUAAGAAAUGGAUUUAACAUCACUGAAAAACAAGAAAUCGCCGACAAAGAAUACCCACAUCUUGAUGUGAAAAAUAGCCAUCUAGUGCGGGUUCGACAUAAAUCUCAAACUACUCUCAUUCCGCAUUAAACAAAAGACUCAUUAAAACAACAACAACAACAACAAAGUAAUGACCCAAACCCGUUUUCUCCCCUCUACUGUUUUGUAGCUGGAGUGUAUGUAAAUAUUCUCAAGAUUUUUUAAUAUUUUCUCAGUAAUAUUAGGUACCGGCUCACAACAAUAGAUUUUUAAAAGAUUAUUUUUGCUAUGUUCACAUCAAAGUAAACGAAAACAUAAGGAAACAAUUUUAAACCAGAAUUUAGUUUUGGAGAUAGUGCUAUAUGGGGUUUGUGAUUUGUGUAACAGUUUUAGCACAAUAAUUUGGUGAUGUUUGAAGCUCUUAUAUGUAUUAUCUACAAAUCUUAGAAGUCCUCUAAUACUUUGUCUGAGAAGUUACCAACACUGACUUUUUACUCGACUGAUUUAAAAAUUAAUUUGCGAAAGCUUGUGAACUCGAGCACGAAUACCGACCCAACCAUCAAAAAAGGUUACACGGCACACGUAAAAUGUCUGCGAAGGCUGCCAUUUUGUAUGCCGGGUACCAUUUAUCCUCUCUAAAUACACAUGAUUUUUUCAGUUGCACAAAACAAAAACAAAUUGUAGCUGCAUUUGAAAUUAGAAGUAAUAUUCCACGCUAUUCAGAAGAAAUACUAUUUCACGCUAACCGAUGUAACCACGUGGUUCAAGCUACUUCGUUUCCAAGUUGAAUUUUUUAUGUCGUCUUUUAUUGUGCUUUAAUUUCGUUGAUAACUGCAUAGACUUUCCAGUAAUCUUCGGUGAUUUAAUUCAAUGCGUAUACAUCAGUAUCCAUUUCGAAGUCCUGGUGAACUCGAGUACAAAUACCGACCCAACCAUCAACAUGCGUUACACGGCACAUGGAAAAUGGCCUCCGCGAGGCUGCCUAUUUCUUUGAGCCGGGUAGCGUUUAUCCUCUCAAAAUACUCAUGAUUCUUAAAGUCACAUGUUUAAAGCUCUUGUCUAUGUAUUAUCUGAAAAUCUUAUAGAAGUCCCCAAGUACUUUGUAUGAGAAGUUACCAACACUGGCUUUUUACUCAGCUGACUUAAAAAUUAAUUUGCGAAAGCUUGUGAACUCGAACACAAAUACCACCUCAACCAUCAACAUGCAGUACAAGGCACACACGGAAAAUGUCAGUUGAGAGGCUGCAUUUCUUGUAUGCCGGGUACUAUUUCUCCUUUCUAAAUACAAAUUCUUUCAGUUACACAAAACAGACAAAUUGUGACUGCAUGCGCCAAUUAUUUUAAGGAUAGGUCCCUUUACCUUGUAAUAGCUAGCUAUUUGAAACUAGAAGUAAUAUUCCACGCUCUUCAGACGAAAUUACUAUUCCACGCUAACCGAUGUAGCCCCAUGGUAUCGUGCACGUGCUUCAAGCUACUUAGUUUCAAAGUUAACGGAUUUUUGCGUCGUCUUUUACUGUGCUUUAACUUCGUUAAAAAUUACAUAGACUUUUCCUCCAAUCUUUACUUAUUUUAUUCGAUAUGUAUACAUCAGUAUCCAUUGCAAACAUUUUUGAACGCGAG